AUUAAAGUUGUUGCAGUUAAAAAGCUCGUAGUUGGACUUGUGUGCGCUGUCCGCGGGUGGCCUGCGCCCAAAAGGGCGUUUCGGUUCGGCCCCGGUGGCGCCUUGAAAUCUGCAGCUGGGGGGACGUUGGCCUUAACUGGUCGGCGACCGCACGCCGGCUGCUCGGUUACUGUGAGAAAAUUAGAGUGUUCAAGGCAGGCAUUGGGUGCAAUUGAAUACAUUAGCAUGGAAUAAUAAAAUAUGGCUCCUGCCGUAUUUUGUUGGUUUUGACUGGUGGGAGUAAUGAUUGAUAGGGACGGUUGGGGGUGCUAGUAUUGAGCGGCCAGAGGUGAAAUUCAUGGAUUCGCUCAAGACUAACUUAUGCGAGAGCAUUCACCAAGGACGUCCUCUUUAAUCAAGAACGAAAGUUGGGGGAUCGAAGACGAUCAGAUACCGUCGUAGUCUCAACCAUAAACUAUGUCGACUUGGGAUCGGCGGUAGUUUUUUCAUUAAGACACUGUCGGGACCACGGGAGAAAUCAAAGUGUCUGGACUCUGGGGGAAGUAUGGUCGCAAGGCUGAAACUUGAAGGAAUUGACGGAAGGGCACCACCAGGAGUGGAGCCUGCGGCUUAAUUUGACCCAACACGGGGAAACUUACCAGGUCCAGAGAUGUAGAGGAUUGACAGAUUGAAGCUCUUUCUUGAUCACUUCGGUGGUGGUGCAUGGCCGUUCUUAGUUGGUGGAGUGAUUUGUCUGGUUAAUUCCGUUAACGAACGAGACCUCAGCCUGCUAGUGUAGUCGGCUGGAUUGCCUUUGGCGAUCCGUGAUUUCGACUUCUUAGAGGGACAAUCGACGCGCAGUCGAUGGAAGUUUGAGGCAAUAACAGGUCUGUGAUGCCCUUAGAUGUUCUGGGCCGCACGCGCGCUACACUGCUGGGCUCAGCGAGUUUUACUUGGCCGAGAGGCCCGGUUAAUCUUGUGAAAUCUCAGCGUGCUUGGGCUCGCCUCCUGCAACUGGAGGCGCCAACGAGGAAUUCCUAGUAGACGCAGGUCAUCAACCUGCAUCGAUUACGUCCCUGCCCUUUGUACACACCGCCCGUCGUUCCAUAAGAGUGAGGCAUCCGGUGAAUUGUCGGGAGAGCCUGGGCGUGGCCAGCAAUGGUCUGCUCGGGUUUGAACUUGCAUAAACUUGGUGCCUAUGAUUAGGG
rnacentral:rRNA from 1 species